UAAACUCUAUAAGUGUCCAAAAAGCUUAAUUUGACAUAUAUAAAUAUGAUAUAUCAAAGUCCCCCACACUUACGUCUUUGCUUGUCUUCAAGUAAACACUCAAAACACUAAACAUGCUACUAGAUAACUCUUGAAUAAUGAUAAAGUAUGAGACAUGGUCAAUUAGUAUAUACAAUAAAAAUGACUCUUCUAACAUACAACUUAAGAAUGAUG
rnacentral:lncRNA from 1 species